CAUCCCGGUUGUGCGCUUCGCAUGGUAUUUCUUGUGACUUUCAAACUAUUCAAUGCUAAAACGCUGUAAUGGACAUGGUAGCGUAAGUAGUGAUCAUUUACUAGCGUUUGGUAAUGUUUUUAGCCGAUACUCGUCAAGUUAUGGCCCAUGAAGGUACUUUUUCCCCCGAAAAUCUCGAAAGUACCCUCAUUUUACGUUAACAAAAUAAAUAAAAUUGGCAACACUGCGUCGAAAAGAUCACGAUGGCCUUUAAUUGCAUUUCAAUACGAUCUCAGGGUAGUAUUCAGCUUGUGGACUGUUGCACUCUUCUGUUUAAUUAUGAUGCACUGGACCAAUAGUCCAGAAUUCCUUGAUUUUAGCGCAUAAAAAUGACAAAUUGGCAACGCUGUACAGCCUAAACGAGGUGUCACUUCAAGUUGAAACUUUGCCUGGAAGUAUGCCUUAACAUAAGCAUUCAUUUGAGCCUUGUCCCGUUGACCAACUCGGGUAUCCAAAAAAGGGGCUAAACUUGGCGAGGCUCUUUCCGACGCAACCGAUGAUUUUUCCAAAAUGCUUUAAAAAACCCAAAUGGUAAAAAUCUUUAAAAUGACUUACACUUGUUCUUGAUGCGGUGCGGUGGUGGUGGUGGUGGUGGGGCUGGAGAUGUGAGUGGGUGUGGGGGUGCGGGGUGGGUGAGGCGGUGCCGAUGCCGGACUCCUCGUGUUCCUCGGGGUCGGCGUUGGUGGAGUUGAGGGUGGAGUAGUCGUCGGCGGAGGCCGAGGCCGAGGAGAGCUCCGAGCAGUCCUCCGAGAGCCACGUCGAGCUCGAGGACCGCGACACCGUCGGCGAGGUCUGCGUCUCCGCGUCGCCCACCACCCGCCCCCCGCCAGUCCCCGUCCCCAGGUCUUGGGCUUGGUUCUUUGGCUGUGGGUGAGGGUGGUGAUCUUGGUGAGGACGGGGUCGUCCUUGUGGCAGGUCGGGAGCUGGGGGCGGCAGUUGCGGACGAGGCGCCCCUGCUUCCGCCCGCCGGCGCCGCUCCCGGAGCUGCUCGUCGAGAUGUCCGAGGUGGAGGGCGACACCGUGGGCGACAUGGAGGGCGAGGGCGACCCCGACGGCGAGGGAGAGCCCGAGGGUGAGGGCGAGGCCCGCUCCGACUUGUAGCGCAUCUCCACGGCGACCUCUUCGUCGGACGUCACGCACACCUCGUCAUAGUCCGGCUCGGACUCGCUCGACGCUCGCUCGGCCGAAAUCGCCGACCUCAGCUCAUUCUCCACAAUGCUCUGCACGUCCGCCAGAAGGAGGUUCGACCACGCUUCCACCUGUCCAAACAAUCCAAAUCAAAUUACGUAAUAUAUUCUCAAAAUGCAAAGAUAUGACAACACUGAAAGAGAAAUUACGGGCUAUAUAGAUAUACCGUCCGUUACAGGCCAGAGACCGGAAGUUCCAAGUGCUGGAGCCGUGGCUUAGACUACUCCGGGUGCUACACCCGGAACUUUUGGCCUCU
rnacentral:lncRNA from 1 species